CCUACGGGAGGCAGCAGUAGGGAAUAUUGCGCAAUGGGGGAAACCCUGACGCAGCAACGCCGCGUGAGUGAGGAAGGUCUUCGGAUUGUAAAACUCUGUUCUUAGGGAAAAAUGUCCUAGUGGCUAAUAUCCAUUAGGAGUGAUGGUACCUAAGUAGAAAGCACCGGCUAACCUCGUGCCAGCAGCCGCGGUAAU
rnacentral:rRNA from 1 species